UAGAAAGCUGGUAGAAAGUUAUGUCGCUCUUAAUAUUUCUAAUUUUUUGACAGAAAAAAUGAUUUUUCUGUGCGCUAUUUGAGUUUAUUCUGUUCCUUAAAGCCUGUUCAAUCCCCUGAAAUUGUAAGGAUUGAACAUUAUUAAUAAUACAGACCAGCAGAUAAAGAUCACCUAAAGGAAGAGAACUGGGCCACCAUGCCACCACUUGCAUAAUUCUGAUAUUUGCUAUCAUUCUGGAUGAGUUAGCCUUCCAUUAUCUGGUUAAAAAUUUUGUACAAGUCGAUGUAUGUAUACACUUCCAGGGCAGUGCAUUUAUCCUUUUCAUGUAUAUUACCAACAAUGCACGAAGACUUAAGUAUAUCAAAAACUUUAUUUCUUUUGGUUGAGUUUUUGAAUGGGAUAUUGUACUGCUUUGGAACAAACUAACGAACCCACUUCAAGAUAUCACCAGGCUGAUAAAAUUCAACAUUAAACAUUGAGGAAGAAAUUUAUAAUUGAAGAGGAAUUAAAUAAUUUUAGAACCAAGACUUUCCAGAACGUUACUUCCGAACGAAGAUCUGUUUACCUCAACAUAGACAUCAGCAUGUCCAUCAACGCCUUAGAUUUUAAUAUCUAUAUUUUUAAUGUUACUAUUGUUAAUAAAAUAAUAUACC